GAUGAACGCUGGCGGCGUGCCUAAUACAUGCAAGUCGAGCGAACGGACGAGAAGCUUGCUUCUCUGAUGUUAGCGGCGGACGGGUGAGUAACACGUGGAUAACCUACCUAUAAGACUGGGAUAACUUCGGGAAACCGGAGCUAAUACCGGAUAAUAUUUUGAACCGCAUGGUUCAAAAGUGAAAGACGGUCUUGCUGUCACUUAUAGAUGGAUCCGCGCUGCAUUAGCUAGUUGGUAAGGUAACGGCUUACCAAGGCAACGAUGCAUAGCCGACCUGAGAGGGUGAUCGGCCACACUGGAACUGAGACACGGUCCAGACUCCUACGGGAGGCAGCAGUAGGGAAUCUUCCGCAAUGGGCGAAAGCCUGACGGAGCAACGCCGCGUGAGUGAUGAAGGUCUUCGGAUCGUAAAACUCUGUUAUUAGGGAAGAACAUAUGUGUAAGUAACUGUGCACAUCUUGACGGUACCUAAUCAGAAAGCCACGGCUAACUACGUGCCAGCAGCCGCGGUAAUACGUAGGUGGCAAGCGUUAUCCGGAAUUAUUGGGCGUAAAGCGCGCGUAGGCGGUUUUUUAAGUCUGAUGUGAAAGCCCACGGCUCAACCGUGGAGGGUCAUUGGAAACUGGAAAACUUGAGUGCAGAAGAGGAAAGUGGAAUUCCAUGCGUGGCGGUGAAAUGCGCAGAGAUAUGGAGGAACACCAGUGGCGAAGGCGACUUUCUGGUCUGUAACUGACGCUGAUGUGCGAAAGCGUGGGGAUCAAACAGGAUUAGAUACCCUGGUAGUCCACGCCGUAAACGAUGAGUGCUAAGUGUUAGGGGGUUUCCGCCCCUUAGUGCUGCAGCUAACGCAUUAAGCACUCCGCCUGGGGAGUACGACCGCAAGGUUGAAACUCAAAGGAAUUGACGGGGACCCGCACAAGCGGUGGAGCAUGUGGUUUAAUUCGAAGCAACGCGAAGAACCUUACCAAAUCUUGACAUCCUUUGACAACUCUAGAGAUAGAGCCUUCCCCUUCGGGGGACAAAGUGACAGGUGGUGCAUGGUUGUCGUCAGCUCGUGUCGUGAGAUGUUGGGUUAAGUCCCGCAACGAGCGCAACCCUUAAGCUUAGUUGCCAUCAUUAAGUUGGGCACUCUAAGUUGACUGCCGGUGACAAACCGGAGGAAGGUGGGGAUGACGUCAAAUCAUCAUGCCCCUUAUGAUUUGGGCUACACACGUGCUACAAUGGACAAUACAAAGGGCAGCGAAACCGCGAGGUCAAGCAAAUCCCAUAAAGUUGUUCUCAGUUCGGAUUGUAGUCUGCAACUCGACUACAUGAAGCUGGAAUCGCUAGUAAUCGUAGAUCAGCAUGCUACGGUGAAUACGUUCCCGGGUCU
rnacentral:rRNA from 1 species